UCUUGUGUCGAGCCGCUUUUUCGAAGUG
rnacentral:sRNA from 1 species